rnacentral:rRNA from 1 species
GACGAACGCUGGCGGCGUGCCUAAUACAUGCAAGUCGAACGAACGGAUUGAGGAGCUUGCUCUUCAUGAAGUUAGUGGCGGACGGGUGAGUAACACGUGGGUGACCUGCCCUUCAGUGGGGGAUAACAUCCGGAAACGGGUGCUAAUACCGCAUAGUUUCUUUUUCCGCCUGGAAGAAGAAGGAAAGAUGGCCUUUGCGCUAUCACUGAGGGAUGGACCCGCGGCGUAUUAGCUAGUUGGUGAGGUAAUGGCUCACCAAGCCGACGAUCUUUAGCUGGUCUGAGAGGAUGAUCAGCCACACUGGGACUGAGACACGGCCCAG